rnacentral:lncRNA from 1 species
UAAUUUUAAGUAUAUUUAGUUAUAAAGGCCCAAGUUUCUAGCCCAUUUCUUAAGGUCAAUAUCAAUACCCAUUAAGCUAAUCCUAGGGACCCUUCUAGACUCUUCUUGGGAAUAAAAAAUAAAUAAAAAACCCUAAGGACUAAUUGGCAAAAUACACAAAGAAUACACAUUAGACCUAGACCUAUGUAAUGCCUAUCAGCUAAAAGAAAGAGAGAAAGAACGCCUAAAAAGGGAGACACUGAAAAAUCAGGCGGCUGAACAACAAGAUGACCCCCUCCCUGUACUCCAUUGUCAACACACCCCAUCAACUUCUCCUUCAUUGUUCAAUGUUGAACCAGCAAAAAUACAAUAAAAAUUAGACCUAGGGAAGAAAAAGAAACAACAGCUCCUUCUUAGAACAAAUGCGGAGCCUAAGACCUGGACAUAUACAGGCAGCCGCAAUACACGACCACCCCACCCCCGUCAUCGUUUUCUUCAAUCGCCUCCCCCGCCGGUUCUCUCCAACGUCGACAGCCUUGUGACCUUCACGACCUGCAACCUUCCAAGAUCCCUCCCCACCAUGGACUGAUCUUCCUCAGUCGCUGAACACCCAAAACACCUCCCCCAUCGACGCUCCUCUUCUUCAACCUCAUAGAGUCCAAUUUGAAGUCCGUUCGUUGAGUUGUUCGGAGUUGAGCUCCGUUCGUCAAGUUCGUCGAGAUCCGAUCAAGGUUCAACCGUGUUUUGCUAUUGCUGGAUGAGCUUGUGCUGAGGUUCUGUACUAAUUCAAUAUUUAGAAAGGAAUUGUUUCUAUUAAAAGGUCACACUCUAACUUUACUUAUCUUUCUAAUUGCUGGAUCUGGUUUCAUGGUUCUUUGAAUUUUUUGUUUAAUUUUGCUUGUUUCCGUUUUACUGCUUAUAAGAUAGUACUUUGGGAUUUCAUGAAUACUUAAGGGAGUGGGAUGUGAGUCAAAAGUGAAGGUCUAGUGUUGUCUAGUUGGUAGCAGUAUUUCUCUCUAUCACCCAAACUAGAAAGCAAUUCUUUGACAAUUUGUUGCUUAGCUGCGCUGGCCCAUUGAAUUUGAUUUGGUUUGCGCAUCAUUGUCUUGACUCUUCAGUAAACAUGAAAGGGAAAAGUUAGAGUUUGGAAUAUUUAAUUUGGUUGAUAUGCAUGCUUGUUUAAUCACAGUGAACAUGGCCUUGUUUCCUUGUUGUUAGCUCUAUUUUCGCAUAUUGAGAUAAUAUGGCUCUUCUCUUGGUGGUGUUAACGAGCCGCUAAUUUAAUUUAGGUUCGUAUAGUUCAAGGUGCGCCAUCCAUAAUUUAAUCAUUCAGGGCCCUCACAAAUAUUAUAGUUUAUCUAUUAAAAAUAAACUACGUAGUUGCUUUAGGCGCGCUAUUUUUAAAAAUUACUUUCUUAAAUUCGGGUGUGCAUUUUAUAUGACUCAAAUCCAAAUCUCAACAAUGUUAAAUAAAAUGUGUCAUAGACCGCGGGUGCAUUUAUGUGACGUGGUUCAAGAUGUGUUUUAGAUGACGUUGAAUCUUUCUAAAAAUAUUUAAAUAAAAACGGUUAUAAAGUUAAAAUUGAACCAUAGGUUAAAACAUGUAUCAAAAUCAAGUAAAUAGGCCAAAUAUAACAGUUGAGCGACCGUGCUAGAACCACAGAAUCCGGGAAUGCCUAAUACCUUCUCCCGGGUUAACAACAUUCGUUACCCAGAUUUCUGUGUUCGCAGACUGUAAAACAAAGUCAAUCUUUUCCUCGAUUCGGGAUUUGAACCGAUGACUUGGGACACCAUAAAUUAUUCCAAGUGGUGACUCUGAAUCAUUAAAUGAAUAAAUUCCAUUUCGAUUGUCACUUUAAGUUGGAAAAAACUCCCUUAUACCCCUUCCGGGGGUGUAAGAAAAAGGAGGUGUGACAGCUCUGGCGACUCUGCUGGAGACAAGAACCCAGAACUUCUGGUUUAGGACAGGUGUACCCAAAAAUAAAAGACCAUCCUGAUGCAUCCUAAUGUGCUACAUGCUGCAAUCUUCAAGGGUAAAAGGGUCAUUUGGCAGACCAAUGAUAGUUGAGGGCAAAUGAAAAAGAAAAAAAGGAAAAAAGAGAGGGUGAAGUGUGAAAAAUAAAGCAAGUAGGGCCCGAUUAUGUUUUCUGUCACGUUUUUGUUAAAAAAAAAUGAAGACCCAAAAAAGGAGAUUUUGCACUUUCCCCUCAUUUUUCAAAAAAAAAAACCAAAAAAAUAUAUUUUCUCUAAAUUAAUUUUUUUUAAUUCUCGCCCGUAUCCAAUCUGCCCGAACUACGCAUACCUGAUUCUCGUAUUUUGGGGCGUGAUACGUAGGCAACCCGCAUAGGGUCCGAUCUUCCUAGUGAGUUUAGGUUCUUAGCUUCGCGGGGUCCUAGCCAAAUCUUGCAUUUUAGCCAGUUUUAGCCACAUAGGUUAAUUUUAGAAAAAUAGUCACAAUCAUGUCUUGCAUGUGUCCAACAGGAAAGGUUAUUGUCUCACAUAGUGUUUUAGGUCUUUAAUUUUAUUAGUCUAAUUUUCUCAUACAAGUGUGGAUUUACUUAUCGGAGUUUGAGCAUGACAGAGCCCCAGGACCAUCUAGUCAGGAUCGCUCAUCCAGGAGUGGAUUAAAAGGAGAUUUUCUUUUCUUUUUUAUGCUUUGAGUAUGUUGUUCUUUUUUAUGUCGUCUUUAACUUCUAGCUUUGUACAGUAAUGUCGAUUCUCUUGGUAUUGUGUUGCCUAUUUUCUAUUGAAAAAAAAGAUGUGUAAUAAGUCAAAAUUCAAAAAAGAUUUUGCGUUUUUAUGUUUUCUUUAGAAUACUAACUCUAGAAGUAAAAAAAACGUACUUUAUCUUUAUCUUUAAAGUUUCUUUCUUAGGUAAUCAAAACCGAAAUUCAAAAAAAAUAUUUUUUAUUUUGUUCAUUGCUCGUUUCGAAGUCUUUCUUCAGGGAUAUCAAAUGAAAAUUCGAAAUAUUUUUAUUUGUUGUUUGGACUUCAUUUCAGAAAAAAAGAAUCAAAGAAUAUUCUUCUCUUGUAGGAUUUUUCCUUAAUAAUUUCCCAUAGAGUGUUUGUUUCCAAAAAAAAAAUAUAUGCUCGUUAAGCUUGAGUUUAGGAUAGGUCAAAGAACACGGAGUCUAGAAAAUUCAAAAAAAGAUUUGCUUCUUUUAUUUCUCUUUUCUCAUCAGAGUAGUCACUAAGGUAAAAAGAAAAGAAAAAGAAAAAGAAAAAGAGAACGUCAGUUUGUUUCUUUUAUUCCUGAUCUUCCAGAACUACGCAAAGAUCUGAUUCAUGCAGGGUCAUGAUACGUAGACAACCUACAUAGGGUUCGAUGGAAUCAUUUUUUUAUUAUUAAAAGAAAAGAAAAAAAAAGAAAAAAGAAGAAGAAGAAAAUGAUGGUGAAAUUAUGAGAGGUAAGAAAUGAGAGGAAAGAAAAGAGCGAUAAUCAGAAAGAAUAAAGGGGAAAGAAAGCGAGCAAGCUAAGAAGUGCGAGGAAAGAAUAGAAAAGAGAAGAUUCAAAUGGACAAACUGGGAUGAUGCCAAGUGACCUUAUGACCCUCGAAGUCAUUCUAGAACCAUUAAUUGUUGCUAGGUGCAUUACACGUAAUGUGAUAUUUUUGCUGUUGAAUGCCCUAACGCUAAUGGGAUACCCCCAUUUUGUUCCUUUUGAUAUCUUCAUAGCAAAAAGGUGGCUGGUUUGUGGUUCUCGAAGUAGUAACUCCUCUCCAUAACAUAAAGUCAAAAGGCAAUGGCAGAAAACAACAAGAUUGGGUUGGUUGAUACCGGUGCCCGAAAGCAGUUGGUUGAACAGGACACUGGUUUGGCUGAUGAGGUAAGGAUGUUAAGACAACACAUGACAGACAUGUAUCAGACCUGGAUGACUGGGAAAGCACCACCCUCGCCACCACCUGGCUGCUUAGAUGAUACCCUUACCCAAACUCCGGUCAUAGUGCCGGAUGAUUCCCCGUACUCUCCAGAUCCACCCGUUUAUCACAGCUUUCCCAACCACCCAGUAGCUCUAUCACUCAUCCUCCAAUUACCUCUCCCCAAAAUUGUCGUCCUGUCAUAUCCGUUAUUCCCAACAAUGAAUACCCACUCAAAGCUCAUGAUGCCUAAUAUUACCCCUCAAAGGUUUCACACAAGGUUCCUGACUCAUACAUGAAGAGCCCUCGGGAUGAGCUUCAUGCUGAAAAUGGAAAGGUUACAGGAAAAGAAGGGCGAGAUGAGAUAUCCGGUAAGCUGAAAAGCAUAGAACAAUAUUUAAAGAACAUGCAAGGGAUGGGAGACCAGGUUAGCAUGUCUUACAAAGAGUUGUGUAUGUUCCCCGACGUUCGCCUGCCCGCGGGGUUUAAAGUGCCAAAGUUUAACUUGUAUGAUGGGGGUGGAGAUCCGGUAGCCCAUCUGAGGGGUUAUUGCAAUGAAAUGAGAAGUGUUGGCGAGAAAGAUGAUUUAUUGAUGGCGUAUUUCAGUAAGAGCUUGACUGGGGCAGCUUUGGAAUGGCAUAAUCGUCAAGAUGUCGGUAAGUGGCAUAUAUUGGGCGACAUGGCUCAAGAUUUUGUGCGACACUUUCAGUACAAUAUAGACAUUGUCCCAGACCACUCCUCCUUAUCUCAGAUGGAAAAGAAACCCAAGGAAAGUUUUAGGGAUUUUUGGCUCAGAUGGAACGAACAAGUUGCUCGGGACAGUCCUCCCAUUUAUAGAAAAAAUGUUGCUGAGCCCCACCGACGACAUGGUCCAGUGGUCGUUCUUGCUAAACGCUUUCAGCCUCAAUAUCGACCCCGCGAAUAUCCUUGUAAUNNNNNNNNNNNNNNNNNNNNNNNNNGAAAAAAAUACCAAAAAUAGUUUUGUUUUAAUGGUCAGUCUUAAUUUUAACAAUUAUUUUUACUUAAAUAGAGCUAAUAAAUAUUUUUGAUAAUAUUUUUAGUUAAUUAAGCUAAUUUUAAGCAUAGCUAGCCAUAAAGGCCCAAGUUUCUAGCACAUUCCUUAAGCUCAAUAUCCAAUACCCAUUAAGUUAAUCCUAAGGACCCUUCUAGACUCUUCUUGGGAACUAAAAAUAAAUAAAAAAAACCCUAGGGACUAAUUGGCAAAAUACACAAAGAAUACACAUUAGACCUAGACCUAUACAUAGGGGUAACACCUAUAAGCUAAAAGAAAGAGAGAAAGAAUGCCUAAAAAGGGAGACACUGAAAAAUCAAGUGGCUGAACAAUAAGACGACCCCUUCCCUGUACUCCAUCGUCGACACACCCCAUCAGCUUCUCCUUCAUUGUUCAAUGUUGAACCAACAAAAAUACAACAAAAAUUAGACCUAGGGAAGAAAAAGAAAUAGCAACUCCUUCUUAGAACAAGCGCAGAGCCUAAGACCUGGACAUAUACAGGCAGCCACAAUACACGACCACCCCACCCCCGUCAUCGUCUUCUUCAAUCGCCUCCCCCGUCGGUUCUCUCCAACGUUGACAGCCAUGUGACCUUCACGACCUGCAACCUUCCAACGAUCCCUCCCCACCAUGGACUGAUCUUCCUCAGUCGCUGAACACCCAAAACACCUCCCCCAUUGACGCUCCUCUUCUUCAACCUCAUAGAGUCCAUUUUGAAGUCCGUUCGUUGAGUUGUUCGGAGUUGAGCUCCGUCCGUCAAGUUCGUCGAGGUCCGAUCAAGGUCAGCCGUGUUUUGCUGUUGCUGGAUGAGCUUGUGCCGAAGUUCUGUACUAAUUCAAUAUUUAGAAAGGAAUUGUUGCUAUUAAAAGGUCACACUCUAACUUUACUUAUCUUUCUAAUUGCUGGAUCUGGUUUCAUGGUUCUUUGAAUUUUUUG